GAUGAACGCUGGCGGCGUGCUUAACACAUGCAAGUCGAACGAAGCGCUUAAACGGAUUUCUUCGGAAUGAAGUUUUUGCGACUGAGUGGCGGACGGGUGAGUAACGCGUGGGUAACCUGCCUCAUACAGGGGGAUAACAGUUAGAAAUGACUGCUAAUACCGCAUAAGCGCACAGUGCUGCAUGGCACAGUGUGAAAAACUCCGGUGGUAUGAGAUGGACCCGCGUCUGAUUAGCUAGUUGGUAAGGUAACGGCUUACCAAGGCGACGAUCAGUAGCCGACCUGAGAGGGUGACCGGCCACAUUGGGACUGAGACACGGCCCAA
rnacentral:rRNA from 1 species